rnacentral:rRNA from 1 species
AGCAGCCGCGGUAAUUCCAGCUCCAAUAGCGUAUAUUAAAGUUGUUGCAGUUAAAAAGCUCGUAGUUGAAUUUCGGGAUUAGUACGUCGGUCGUGCCUUCGGUACGUACUGGUGUUACUGGUUCCUACCUUCUGACGAACCGUCAUGUCAUUAAUUUGGUGUGGCGGGGAAUCAGGACUGUUACUUUGAAAAAAUUAGAGUGUUUAAAGCAGGCUCGCGCUUGAAUACAUUAGCAUGGAAUAAUGAAAUAGGACGUUUGAUUCUAUUUUGUUGGUUUCUAGGAUCGACGUAAUGAUUAAUAGGGAUAGUUGGGGGCAUUAGUAUUCAAUUGUCAGAGGUGAAAUUCUUGGAUUUAUUGAAGACUAACUACUGCGAAAGCAUUUGCCAAGGAUGUUUUCAUUAAUCAAGAACGAAAGUUAGGGGAUCGAAGACGAUCAGAUACCGUCGUAGUCUUAACCAUAAACUAUGCCGACUAGGGAUCGGAUGAUGUAUUUUUAAUGACUCAUUCGCGCCUUACGGG